rnacentral:rRNA from 1 species
UAUUAGAGUUUAAUCCUGGCUCCGAAUUAACGCUAGUAGUAUGCUUGAACACAUGCAAGUCGAAUGUUUUUAAUUUUAGUAAUUAAAGUACAUGGCGUACGGGUGAGUAAUGAAAAAUUAGAUACCUUAAUAAAUUAUCUAAAAAACAAUAUCAGUUAUGAUAACGUUAAAUGAUAUGAAAAGUAAUAAAUUAUAUUUAUUAUGUAUUAAGAUUUGAUUUUUCUAGGAUUAGGUAGUUGGUGAGGUUAAAGCUUACCAAGCCAAAGAUCCUUAGCUGGUUUUUGCGAAUGAUCAGUCACAUCGGAAUUGAAAUAAGGUCCGACUAUUUUUUAGUCAGCAGUGGGGAAUAUUGGACAAUGGACGAAAGUCUGAUCCAGCAAUACUACGUAAGUGAUGAAGGUUUUGUUACUGUAAAACUUGUUUUUUAUUAGGGAUAAUGACCCUUUUAAAAGAAGUCCCGGCAAACUCUGUGCCAGCAGCCGCGGUAAUACAGAGGGGGCGAGCGUUAUUCGUAUUUACUGGGCGUAAAGUGUUUUGAGACGAUUUUUUAAGUUAAAAAGUAAAGAUCAAAGCUUAACUUUGAAUUCAUUUUUAAUACUGAAAAUUUAGAGUAUAUUACAGGAUAAUAGAAUUUUUGACAGGAGGGGUGACAUCCAAAGAUAUCAAAAGGAAUGCCAUUUAGCGAAGGCAAUUAUCUAGUAAAAUACUGACGUUGAUUAACGAAAGCAUGGGGAGCAAAUAGGAUUUGAUACCCUAGUAGUCCAUGCUGUAAACUAUGAAUAUUAAUUAUUGUGAAUUUAUUUGCAGUAAUUUAGUUAACGUAUAAAUAUUCCGCCUGGGAAGUAAAACCGCAAGGUUGAAACUCAAAGGAAUUGACGGGGGCUCACACAAGCGGUGGAACAUGUGGUUUAAUCCGAUAACCCGCGUAAAAUCUUACCAGUUCUUGACUUAAUUUAGUUUUAAAGGUAUUAUAUUAAAAACAUAAUAUUUAAAAAUUACAGGCGUUGCAUGCCUGUCGUCAGCUCGUGUUUUGAAAUGUUAAGUUCAUUCUUUUUAACGAGCGCAACCUCUUAUUUAAAUAAAAUUAAAUUAAUUUAAUAUGAUAUAUUCAUAUUAUUUAAUUUUUUAUAAUAAUUUAAAUAUAUAUGAGAUGAAUGACAAGUCGUUAUGACCCUUAUGAACUGGGCUACACAUGUGUUACAAUGUUUUUUACAAAAAGAUGCAAUUAUGAAAAUAGGAGCAAAUCUUGAAAAAAAAACAAAGUUCGGAUUAUAGAUUGAAAUUCAUCUAUAUGAAGUUGGAAUCGCUAGUAAUCGUGCAUUAGUACGGCACGGUGAAUAUGUACUUGAGCCUUGUACACACCGCCCGUCACAUUAGAAAAAUUAUUUUUGUACUAAAUAUUUAUUUUUUAAUUAUCUAAUAAUAUUAUUAAUAUUUAUAAAAAUAUAAUAGUUAUUUUAGUUUUUAAGAAUAAAUAUCACUAUAAAAAUUCUGAUUUUAAUGAAGUCGUAACAAGGUAGCCGUAUGGGAACAUGUGGCUGGAAU